GCUGUAGGAAAAGUUCUAUGUCCUGCCGACAACUAAGAAUAUAUGAGGACAAAGCUUGGCAGCUACAGAGGAGUCCGAAAACCAUCAGAUGCUCACCCUAUUACACCUUCUAGAUUAUCUCAGCCAUUGGAGGCUGUUUCUCUGCUGUGAGCUAGGAGAGUAACAGAACCUGCCUUACAGAGCUGCAGGCAGGGGUAAAUGAGACAAAGCUGAUCCAUAAAAGGCACUUUGAAGUGUGUUCACAACUACCCCAAGGAACAGACAAAAGCACGCUGAAGUGGCCUAUACUCAGGAGAGGUGGAGCUCCCCCCCACACUUAGUACUUGUGAACUCACUACCUCCAAGAAACCAGAGUUGCUGGAGAAGAUGCAGAUUCCCCGUCUCCACAGCAGAACAGCAUUGUUCCUUUCCUGUGUAGUGACUGUGCAUGCUAAGUUUGAAUUACCAUAGGAGGAAGGUCAGAAGAAAAGAACUGGACAUGAAUAAGGACACGUGAUCCAGCCUCACAGAGCGCCUCUGUUGCAGUUUCCUCAAAAAUCUACAUCUAGAACAAUUUCAAAGCUGCUAACUGAGAUUGUCCAGCCUCACGGACUACUCCAGCCAAGACUUCAAAUAAGCCUUACACUUUUCCAUUUUACACAGAGACUGGACAACAAAUGAUAUAGCUAGCCCUCCCAGGACUUGAUCAUUAAUUCAAUUUUCUCAGGGUCCCCUAAAGAUAUCAUCCCCUCAACAACAAGAAGUAAUUUUAAGAACACAAUGCCCACAUUCCCAAGAGGUGCUUUCAAAAAUAUUGCCAGGACACAAGCACUCAUACUCUGAGAGUGGGGGUGGGGAGAAGAAAUGCUUUUCCGAAAAGUGAUCCAGCAGAGAUAAAAUGGGGGUUCGUUUAGUCCACUGCUCAGAGGGAAACCGCAAGCCUGGCAAAUGGAUGCAACAGCACUUCCUUCUGGCCUGCUCGGUGGGAACAGGAGCAGGACAACCAGAUCCGGCCAGCUGCUGACCAGAUGCCGCCUUCAAUUAAUAUUCCAACCCUCAAAGACAUUCCCUGCUCCCUCUCGAAAGCAGAGCAGCUGAGUAAUAAAGAGACUCACUAAA